rnacentral:lncRNA from 1 species
GUCUAGGGACAGGGUCCCGCCGGACUCCGGGCCCGAGCCUUGACGCCCGCGUGCUAGGGCCUGCGGCGCGAGAACGGCGGCCACCGUGACCCGGCCUCCGGACCUGAGCUCGGCCUCAGGGGCAGCAAAGGAGGCCAGAAAAUCAAUCGGCAGCCCGAGCAGAAGCAGCAGCGAUGGUGGCGGGAGCGGCAGCACGCGGGGGACUAACCGCAAAGCUUCCAGUGAAGACGGUGGUCACAAAGCACCAAGUUGAUCUCCCUGUGCUAUGCGGCUGCUUCCCACCAGCUAUCUAUCUUACGUUUGGUAGUGUAUGUAUGUCCAUGCCACCCUCUCACCUCGUCACAGCCCACCCUUCCCCUUCCCCAGAGGGAGACAUUUUUAAUGAAGACCAGGCAAGAUUAGGCAAGAGGAGACAGGACAGGUGUGAGUUAAAGAUUACUCAGAUGUUCCCGGCCUGGGAGACAGACCUGACCGUCACCACCCACAGCUGUGGCAGAGCUGGGCCUCAGCCUGGGCCUGGAGGGUUGCGGUGCACCUCCCCUUCCCCUGCUUCCUGGGGUCAGGGGCCUGACAUCCCAAAGGCAGAGCACAGCACAGACAGGGUCCACGGAUGCUUGGUUGCCAUAGGGCACUGUCCUGGGGAUGCCAAAAUUUUAAAGAAAACAAUAUCUUGCUGACUAAAUCUGUGCUUGACAUGGAGCUGAGGGGAAGAACAAAGUGAGACAUGAGAGUGAAGAAAAAUUUCUCAAAAGAUAGGAUUGCUGAGUCAAAAGCAGUAAGAUUGAAUUUUACAUAUAUUCUGCGUUCAGACAAGGGGGAAGUCAGAUGCACAGAAACAAACUGGUAAUUUUUCACACGAAAAAACAUCUAAGGGUUUUCAUCAAAUCCCAGGUUCAGUACGAGCCACAGGGCCGGUGAGGCAGCCAGAACAGCCACGGCCCUCGGGCUGCACCAGUAGACUCACAUUAACUGGAUCAGGACCCCUCUGCCCCAGCCCUGAGGUUAGACCAGCCCUGGGGUCUUCCUCAAACACGGGUGUGCGGUUUACCAGGAAUAUGGAAGCUCUGCAAUCCAGUCACAGGAGGAUGAGCAGGUACGGAGAGAUCUGGAAACCAUCUCUUCCCGGGAAUCACUGGAGGUGAUGGAUUUCUCCUGGAGAAAAGGAGACCUGGAUAGACAGACCUCUCCUGUUGGAGGAUGGUCGUGCCAAAGAGAGAAAAGACGAAGUGUUUCUCUAGAGAGCAGAGUGAAGAACAAUAAGUAUAAAUGGUGAGGCAGGAGACACAACAGAAGAAAGCAGUUCCUAACAGCUGGAGCAAUCCAGCCCACCAAAGCGGUGAGCUUCUUGUCCCUGGAAAUGUUCUAAUGGAAGCAGGGUGAUGUCAGGGAUAUCAUGGCCAUCACUGGCAAGAGACCAGCGUUUCCUAACCUCUCUUCCCCUUCCAAACAUCCCAUUGUUCACGAAUCCCAUGUUUUAUAAUAAUGUAUCUAUUUAAUAAAUUGUACUUAUUCAAAGUAAAAUUUAUUCCAUUUUAAUAGGC